rnacentral:lncRNA from 1 species
AAAGCAGGCACAGCUGGAAGGCAGAGCAUCUAGAUCUCCAGAAAUCAAGGAUUCCACAUUUACUUUGAAUCCCUGGUUUCUUCCAAAAGGGAAAUGCCACAAGACUAGGCCGUGCAACAUUUCCGCAGUGCUCCUCGCUACAAAGACAUUCCCCUAAGGCUGGUGGGCAACUCAACACUCAGCUCAGUACGUGGUCAGCUCGUCCUCCAUAGGAGCCUUAUGCCUUGGUGACAGAGUCUUGCUCUGUCACCCAGGCUGGAGUGCAGUGGUGUGAUCUCAGCUCACCACAACCUUCACAUCCUGGGUUCAAGCGAUUCUUGUGCCUCAGCCUCCCAAGCAGCUGGGACCACAGAGGAGAUCUCUGAAGAAAUUGCUGAUGAAAGUCCAACAGGCUCUUCCAGUUUGUCUGGUCGGUCACAUUUGCUGAAACCUGGAGGAAUUGUUAGUGGAAGCUCAACAGGCCUGACUCAGUCUGACUGUCCAUUCUUCUGGAAGCUGCAGAGAAAAGAAACCUGGAAACCUUAUAUGCUGACAAAAAGGGACACAAUUGGAUAUGAUGGUUAUUUUACCAAGGUUUUGAAAUGUCGUGCUUUCAAAUAUAAACAGACUGCUUUAAGGAAUCGAAGUUGACUUAUAGAGCCAAUAAAAGCCCUGCAGGAAAGCUGGCCUCAUACUUUGUCUACACAGUCUCUGUACAGGUUUCCUGACCUGUGAGACAACAUCACUAUUGCAAAACCUAAGAUCAGUGCUGGAGAUAUUUUGCAGACCCUGCACUUGAUAGAUCAGCUGGCACCACCCAGAUGGAUAAACUGGCUCAUCUGAUCUCGUGGCCUCCACCGGGAACUGAUUCAGCAAAAGAGGACAGCUUCAACUUCCUAUGAGUUUAAUCUCCAACCCAACCAAUCAGCACUCCUUACUCACUGUCCCUUAC